CGGAGGAUGCGAGCGUUAUCCGGAUUUAUUGGGUUUAAAGGGUGCGUAGGCGGCUUUUUAAGUCAGCGGUGAAGUUUUGCAGCUUAACUGUAACAGUGCCGUUGAUAUUGGGGAGCUAGGAUUUGGUUGCUGUGGCUGGAAUGUGUGGUGUAGCGGUGAAAUGCUUAGAGAUCACACAGAAUAUCGAUUGCGAAGGCAGCUCACAAAGCCAAGAUUGACGCUGAGGCACGAAAGUGUGGGGAUCAAACAGGA
rnacentral:rRNA from 1 species